UACGAAGGGGGCUAGCGUUGCUCGGAAUUACUGGGCGUAAAGGGAGCGUAGGCGGAUAGUUUAGUCAGAGGUGAAAGCCCAGGGCUCAACCUUGGAAUUGCCUUUGAUACUGGCUAUCUUGAGUGUGGGAGAGGUAUGUGGAACUCCGAGUGUAGAGGUGAAAUUCGUAGAUAUUCGGAAGAACAUCAGUGGCGAAGGCGACAUACUGGCUCAUUACUGACGCUGAGGCUCGAAAGCGUGGGGAGCAAACAGG
rnacentral:rRNA from 1 species